rnacentral:lncRNA from 1 species
AUGGAUGAAUCCCUGCUUUCACCAGUGCCAUCACUCCAGCAUUGUCCUGGAGAGGCUUCCACGCAGCACUGUGGGACAAGCCCAGGUGCUCCCUCCUUCACUGCCCACAGGAGGCACUGUGCUGGCUGGGAUCUGCAUUCUGUCCCUGCUUCCACAAGGAAUAUGAGGAAGACUGAGCAGCACCAUCACAGCCUGUUUCUCUUCAGCAUAAGGGUGACCAGUGUCCCACCUUGCCUUGGAGGUCAAUGGAAGUUCACUUGUCGACUUCAUGCACAGGAUUUCAACCCGUGUCUGUGAUUAGUGGUGAAAUGAAAUUCACAGUUUGGAAUAAUUUAUCCAGCAUACCCAAUCAAACACAAACAUCCUUUGUGCUUGAAAAUGAAUCAGGGCUGGAGGCAGCUAGCCUGCUGCAGGGGUUUGUGAUAGAUUAAUGAGCUGAGAACAAGCUGCCACCUCCACCCCCAUCAUCAGUGACUUUCCAGUCUGAGGAGAGGGGCGCUGAGCUGGAGGUGAAGGAUAUACUCUCUGAUAAGUGUUGCAGUGGGAGGUGAGAAAUAAGAGCUUCAAGUGGAGGAGGAGGGGAGGAAAAAAGACUGUCCUCUGUUAAGCAGGGUACAGUUUAGACAGAGCAGCUGCCUGACAGGCUUGUGGCAGGAGGGGCAGGGCAGGAGCAGCCCUGUGCUUGCAGCACCUGUUAUUGAAUGCUACCUGCAGGUACCAGGGCAGCACAGACCGUGAUUCCCUGACUUCUGCCAGUCACGUGGGAAGGUCAGGGACCUGGGAGAGGAAAGGAGAUGAUGAAACACUGACAAGGUCUGCCCUCAGUGAGAUGCACUAACACCAAUGCAGAAGGGACCAUAUCCCAGAGGCUUCUUGGGCUUAAAGAUGAAAAUAAAAUCUGAAUUUGAUUAUCA